AAAAACAUGGGUAACUAACAAAAUAAAACAACUCUAACCCAAUAAAUCAGUUAACGCAAGCAUCUAGGUGUACGACAUCAAAUAAAACGAAGAAAAAAAAGGUCGAGAAAAGCUAUCAAAAAGACUUCGGUGAAAGAUUCUGAUUCCGGCACGGCGACGAAAUUCCAGGCUCAUAGUAAACUCAAAAUGGCAUAGAACAUGGCGGCACAUGGAAGCCCUUGAGGAUGGACGGAUGGCCGCCUUAUUCAGAAGCUCUCCUUAUUUUUUCUUUUUGACUCAAAUCAUGUAAUAUGCAGCAAAAUGUGUACUGAAAUUUAUGUACACAUGGUACCACAAAUACUUGUAAUGAUAUGUAAUGAUAUGUAAUGAUUGGCUAACGCUUAUGUGUUAAUGAGGAAAUAUUUAUGAAUUCUAUUGUGAUA